rnacentral:rRNA from 1 species
GGGUUGUGAGGUUAAGCGACUAAGCGUACACGGUGGAUGCCCUGGCAGUCAGAGGCGAUGAAGGACGUGCUAAUCUGCGAUAAGCGCCGGUAAGGUGAUAUGAACCGUUAUAACCGGCGAUUUCCGAAUGGGGAAACCCAGUGUGACUCGUCACACUAUCAUUAACUGAAUCCAUAGGUUAAUGAGGCGAACCGGGGGAACUGAAACAUCUAAGUACCCCGAGGAAAAGAAAUCAACCGAGAUUCCCCCAGUAGCGGCGAGCGAACGGGGAGGAGCCCAGAGCCUGAAUCAGCAUGUGUGUUAGUGGAAGCGUCUGGAAAGGCGCGCGAUACAGGGUGACAGCCCCGUACACAAAAGCGCAUGUGCUGUGAGCUCGAUGAGUAGGGCGGGACACGUGGUAUCCUGUCUGAAUAUGGGGGGACCAUCCUCCAAGGCUAAAUACUCCUGACUGACCGAUAGUGAACCAGUACCGUGAGGGAAAGGCGAAAAGAACCCCGGCGAGGGGAGUGAAAAAGAACCUGAAACCGUGUACGUACAAGCAGUGGGAGCACCCUUCGGGGUGUGACUGCGUACCUUUUGUAUAAUGGGUCAGCGACUUAUAUUCUGUAGCAAGGUUAACCGAAUAGGGGAGCCGGAGGGAAACCGAGUCUU